CUUAAAAGUCUGAGCCCAGUAACGGACUCGGUGGAAUUUCUGCGAGGGGAGGAGGGGGAGGCGCGAGCGAGAUCAUUGAAUAUUAAGCACGACCCGGCCCGGCGGCCGCGGCCAAACCCUCCUGGUGCAAUACCCAUUUUCUUUAUGAAAAGUUCAAGGUGUCACUGAUGAGCUCAACAAACUGUUGAUCCUGACCACGUGGAGUGGCAGACGGAGGGACCGCGGGGCGCGGCUGCUGGCCCUGAGCGGGUGGCACCCCAGAUCCCCGCGUCCCUCUCGCAGCACGAGGGGUCGUGCUCGGGUGGGGCCGCCACGCGCCCAGGGCGCUGCCUGCGCUUUCUCCCUUCUCCCGGCUCAGGGAAAUAAUAACUGAAAAAAAAAAAAUUUUUUUUUUUUUUUAAAGCGAGACACGUUUUUGCUCCUGGAAUAGUAAUAAGAGGGCUUGGGGUAGGGAGGGUGAGAAAGAGCCCCCACUUAUAUAACGACUUGAAAUGAGAUGACUUUUGCUGGGGAGAUUCGGAGAUUUGCGCUUGCGCCAGGUCUGAGGUUAGUUAAAGAUCCUCAAACUUUUUCCCUUAAGAGCCAAUAAACAAACAGACGCCCCGGGAGCUGACUUAAACUCUUGUCGGGCCGCCGUUCGCUGGGAUUCUCAGACUCGGAGAAAUGCACACCCCUGCGGCGCUCGCAGGGAAGUCCCUCGGAAGCUGGGCGGGUCGCUUUCGGAACUGGGACUCUGGCGUUCCCGGCGGGAAGAGAUCCCUAACUGCCGCCCCCUGGCUCCCCUCGGGCGUUUUAGAGUACGGGCGGGCCAAGAUCUCGCUGCCCUUCGCUUGCGGCGCGGUACCCGUGAACUUGCGUUCUGGGCGCGGCGUUCCUGCAGCAGUGCUACGCUGAGGAGCCCUAAGGAAUUCGGAUCCCGGGGACGCUUCGGAAUCUCAGCGGGCAACCUGUCGGCGCCGCACAUUCCUGCCCGGACGGACCCGGUUCCCCUCCAAGGGCAUGUGGACGCGUCAGCCUUUCCCGGCUUGAGCUGGGCGCAGGCGUGCACUAGCAGAACCGGGCCGAGGGAUGUUGUCUGGGGUCUACUUCUGACAGUCUGAGCGCAGCGAGAAAACAAAGGGAGCCUGGGGCUGGGAGGCUCUGCGAAGUCCCCGCCCGCCCUGAGGAUUAGCAGGCGCGGAGCGUCGGGGCUUCCCGGCCAGCCUCUGCUCCGGGGAAUUAGAACGAACUCUAGCGGCGGUUUGCGACGCAGCUCUGGGCGCCAGGACCGCAACAGGUGGCCGUGCGCGGCGGAGUGGCCAGAGGCGAGGACGGGGACUGGAGUGGGGACGGCUGGCCUGGGGGGCUGACUGCGUGGCCAAGGCACUGGGUGACCUUUUGACAUUUUCGUUUUCUAGACUGGGGACAAGAAACUGGCUGAACAACGUUUUUCUAGGGUCUCCCCUGGGGCUCCAAUUUCUCUAACAGAGCUCCUUGGGUCUCCAGAAGUUUUGACAAUAAAAAUAGCUCAUAUGCAAAAUUUUCUUACUGGUCUGCACCUGUUUGUUCGGUUAUUGCUCAUGUGGGGUCUGUCUGUUGGUUUUGUUUUUUUGUUGGUGGUGGUUUUUUGUUUCUUGUUUUUUGUUUUUUUUUAAUGACGCAGACAACAAGGCCCUGGCCUGGGAGGGGUCUCUUGUGUGAUGCUCACAGACCCAAGAAGCGAUGCAUCGUAUCGCUGAUGCAGCUCUUAACGUAUUCAUUAAGAACUUCUUCGCAGACCAUGACCCAGAUCGUGUUGCAUCUUUCUCAGACUCAUUUGAUAACUUCUAAGAUCCUAAUGUAUUUGCCAUAAACAUGAGAAUCUAAGAAUACUGUUUUAUAUUUCUUCCCCCAAGGGUGUGCCAGAAGAAUACAGGGGGAAAAAAGGACCCCCCUGCCAAAUUUAAUAAUUUUAUAUUGCUUACCCUUGACUCUUCCAAGUCAUUUCGCUCCCCGUGCCCCAAAGUAAGUGCAGCUCUCAGUUUGUUUCCUCGGAAAUUAUGGAAGCCUUAAGGAAACUGUUCCCAUUUUGAGACUGCAUCUCCUCUUGAUGGUCCAUCACUUAGGAGCAUUUUCUAUAAGUCAAAUGGACCCUUAUCUGAUAUGAUUCAGGAGCUUUGGAAUCCAUGAUGGUAAAGGGACCCCUGAAAGAGCCUUGGGGGCCUCCAGGGUCCUUGGAUCACCUUUUGAGAACCACUGUUAAGAAUCCUGCCAUCAUUCUGUGAGAAGCCCAAACUUCAUGGAGAGGCCACAUGGAAGAAAACCAGGGUUCAGGGGACAACAGCUCCAGCUGAUUGCUGGCUAACACCCAGUCAGACUACAGCCACAUGAGUCAUCUUGGAUGCUGUAGACGAAUUGGCCUUCCAGAUCCACUUCCAACUGAUCUCUGCAGGAAGAAGCAUUCUGAGAUCAUAGAGAAGCUGGAUUCAGCCUAAAAACUGCCCCUGCCCACAGGUCCCAGAUACUAAGCAGAUGAAUGCCUUCAGUCAGAGCCAUUUACUGCUGUGUCCGUGCAUCAUCUGAAACCAUCCCAUGCGCCACACGUGUUACCAGCACUGCACGUCUCAUACCCCGCUGACACCUGUCUGCCUCUCAUGGAUCCAUCGGUUAGUAUCGUUCCCUCUGAGAGCAUAAGGUUAGUUUGAGGAACUCGAAAUGUGGUAGACGCCAACUAACUCAUUUUCUUGGCUCCCGUAUCUGCCCUCAUUAUCCCUGCUGUCACCGAAAACACGGAGCUUGCUAGGUCUUUUCCCCACUUACAAUCUGGCCGUUGCUUCCCAUUUCUCUAGGAUGGCACGGGUCAUCUUGCCAGUCUAGCUUUCUAGCCCAGUCUUCUUUCUCCCUUCUUCUAACCUUGUCCUCUUAAGACUCAGCAUCGCUGGGUUCCUGGUCACUGCCUAAAUUUGCUAGUCUUUUCCAUCCUUGUACAUGGAACACCCUCUACCUGGAAUGCCUUCACGCUUCCUAUGCUGCAAGACUCAAAUCAAACGUCAUUUCCUUUGGGGAGCCUUCUACUCCUCCCAGGAGAGUGAAACCUGCCUCUUCUGAAGUCCUACAGAAUAUUGCAUUUUCCUUGAAUUAGAAUUGCUGCCUUGCAAUCCAGUCCCUUCUUUGUAUUUACCAUGGCCACUUGGCUGUGAGUCCCUCAGGGAUGGGUAAUUUGCCAGGCAUCCCUGUCCUCGUGCCUUACCUAACAUGGAGUUUGUGGUAGGUAGAACUCUGAGAUGGCCCCAGGAUCCCUCACCCCUGGUUAUUCUAACACUAAGCUAGGCACUACUGUGAAAAGGUAUUGCAAAUGUAACUAAAUCCUCAGAUCAGUUGACCUUAAAAUCCGGAGAUUAUGAAGAUUAUCUGGAUAGGCUUGAUCUAAUCAUGUGAGCCCUUUAAAAGCAGACAGAUUUUUCUGGCUGGUUGAAGAAGAAGUCGGAGACAUUCAAAGCAGGAGAGGGAUUUCACACAGGGGAAGUUCUCCGUGGCUGCAAUGGAGCGUCCCAUGUAGCAAGGACCUGGGGGCCACCUCUAGGAGCUGAGCGCAGGCCCUGGCUGAUAGUUAACAAGACAAUGGGGACCUUAGUCCUACAGCCACAAGGAAAUGAAUUCUGCCAAGAGCCACGGAGCUCAGAAGAGCACCCUGGGACCCAGACCAGGCCUGAAGCUCUGGCUGACACCUCUUUUUUGCCCAGUGAGACCCCAAGCAGAAAAGUCAGUGGUUCCAUGUCUAGACUCCUGCCCUACAUGUUGUGCAGUGAUGAAUUUGUGCUGUUCUACACUGCUCAGUGUCUGGUAAUUCCUCACACGCCAAUAGAAGACUGAUAAAGAUGGAUGCUGGGUAAAUGCUGAAUGAAUAAAUGCAUGGGAACAUGUACUUUUCGUGGUCACAGAGGACAGUGGAGGGGAUGCCUCUCCCCACUCCUAGUUCCCCUGAGGAGGGAGGGGUUGUCGGUAAAACCUCCUGCCUUCUGCUUCUGCCUUUCAGUCUCUGGGAGAGUUUGGCCCAGCUUCACACUUCCUCCCCUGAGAGCACGGGUCUCCUUUGUUCUGGUCUUAGCACGGGUGGGGGCACUCCUCACAACACUCCCUUCCUCUUUGUGGGUAUGUCAGCCUCAUUCUGGGUGCUGGAGACGCAGCCCACACAACCAGCAGACUACGGUAGUCUGCUCCGGCUGUCAUACCUGAGCACCACAGAUGGGGGUGGAGGGCUUAAAAAACAAACAUUCAUUUCUCCCAGUUCUGCAGACUAGGAGCCCAAGACCAAGGUGCCAGCAAGGUGGAUUUCAUUCUGAGGCUGCUUUCUUUCUUUCUUUCUUUUUCUUUCUUUCUUUCUUUCUCUCUCUUUCUAAGUUUUUUUAAUGUUCAUUUUUGAGAGAGAGAGAGAGAGAGAGAGAGAGACAGAGCACGAGCAGGGGAGGGGCAGAGAGACAGGGAGUCACAGAAUCUGAAGCAGACUCCAGGCUCCGAGCUGUCAGCACAGAUCCUGACAUGGGGCUCGAACUCACGACCUGAGCCCAAGUCGGACGCAUAACGGACUGAGCCACCCAGGCAUCCCUCUAAGGCAUGUUUCUUUGGCUUGUGGAUAGUUGCUAUCUCAUUGUGUGCUCACAUGACUUGUUUGUGUGCACACGUUGGGGUGGGCCUACCCUCAUCACAAGAGUCUUUAUGAGAGGGCAGCAAAGGGUUGGAGCCAGAGGAGAUGUGACAAUGGAUGAGUAAGGUCGGAGUCUUUUAGCUACGAGCCAGGGAAUGCAGGCAGCCUGUGGAAAGAGGAAGAGGCAAGAAAAUGGAUUCCCCCUGGAGCCUCCACAAAGGAAUGUAGACCUGCGGACCCCUUGCUUUCAGCCUUCUGACCUCCUGAUCUCCACAUCUGUAACAAUACAUUUGUGCUGUUCGAAGCUACUAAAUUUGUGGUAGUUUCUCACAGCGGCAGUAGGAAACGGAUACAGGUGGUUUAGAAGGUGUUGUUGGGUGCGAGUAGCCUUACAGGUGGAGCCCGGGGGGUGUGGAUCUGUGCGGAGGCAUGAUGGAUGACAGAUCCCCAGAAGAUGGCAGUCUGCACAGGAGAUGCUGAAGGUAGGAAGGUGCUCCUCCCCUACCCCGCGCUCACCCCACAUUGAUAUCAGACUUUUUGUAAGUUUCCCAAAACUUGGGCCAUCUCCCCAGGGAAAGUAGGAAGGGGCAGGAGCUGAAUUGCCUGAGAUUAUUUCUACCACGUUGGCUGAACGGGAGCUCAAAAUACAAAUGAAAUUGCAUUAGAGAAAUUAAAGAAACUUGUGAGUUGAGAUUUCUGAUUUAUAACUGACAUUUUCCAGCACAGUGGGUAUGUCUAUCUCGUGGUCACCUGGACAUACAGACACCAGGACCUGCAUUUGUGUGUGGUCUUUUAAGAAUUGAUUGAAGGUAAGAACAUUAGACUAUUGGGUGGUUUUUAAAAAUUAAAACUUUUUAUUUUGAAAUAGGUUAAGAUUCCCAAGAAGGUGCAAAGAUAGUAUAGGAAGAUCUCAUGGAAUCUUCCCCCAGCUUCCCCCAACGAUCCUAGUACAUUUUCCAAAAGGAAGCAGUUGAUGUUGGUACAGUGCUAGUAUAGGCAUUAUUUGGAUUUCACUAGGUUUUUCUUAUGCACUCUUAACAUUUUUUUUUUUGUUCUAUGAAAUUUGAAGUUUAUUUUUUUAUAUUGUAGUUAUUUCUUUAAGAUUUUGUAUUUUGAGAUAAUUAUAGAUUCGUAAGCAGAGGGUCCCCCAUUUGCCCUUUUACAUCUAUACCCACUUCGCUUCCUUGGCAACCAUCACUCUACUCACCAUUGCUAUAAUUUUGUCAUUUCAGGAAUCUUAUCUCAAUGGAAGCAUACUGUAUGUGACCUUUUAGGACUGGGGUUUUUUCUGCUCAGAAUAAUUCUCUGGAGAUUCAAACGGGUACAGCACAGUGAUUGGAUGACUCUAUACAUUUUGGUAUGCUCACCACAUUGACACAGUUACUUUUUAAUGAAAGAGUAGGGUUCAUCUCCUUUGGAGCCCUUGUGAAGAGAACUUCCCCACACCCCGCAUAAUAAUUGCAGAGCUCCAGGGAUUCAGCACAACUGGGGAUAAAGCAGCCCGCCCUUCUCUGACCUGCUCCUGGGCUGUGACUUUGCUGUUACCCAGCCAACGUUCUGGCUUCUCUCUCAACACCACUGUGUUCUCCUGCCUCAAGCUGGUUGUGGGCACAGACGUGAACCCAGCACUUGCCUGGGGUCUGCCGUGACAGUGUAAAAGGAGGAUGACUUCAGCCCCAGGAAUACUUCCUGAUGACCACUGGCUUCUAUUUAUACAGCCCAAUGCUGGGCUUGCCCAGAGGAUGCCCACAUUACAUAUCUGUGAUGCCAUCAGCUUGUCGGUCAGCCGGAAUCUGGAAUCAUCCUCUGCUGUUCUCAAGUGCCCUCUAAUUACAACAUGUCGGAGCUGAUAACCAAACCUCAAAAGCUUCUCAAGUCUUACAGAUAGAUGUAGUCACAACCGUGUCCAAUGUAGCAAAUAUGGUAAAGCCCAAUACUUGUGAGCCCUUGCUAGUUUCCAAAAAUUGUCUACAGACUCUCUCUGUCUCUCCCUUUUCUCUGUUAUCUCUUGCUCAGACUCUACAAGGGCCUCCUAACCAGUCUUGCUCUUUGUAUCUUUGGGCAUCUUUUAUCUAUUCUCUAGAGCAGGGGUUGGCAAAUUUUUUCCAUAGGGGGCCAGAUAGCAAAUACCUUAGGCUUUGCAGGCCACAAGUCUCUGUUUCAACCCCUGAAUUAUCCUAUUACAGCAUAGUAACAGCCUUAGAUGAUACAUAAAUGAAUGUGAGCGGCUUUGUCUCAAUAAAACUUUAUUUAUGGCUGCUGAAAUGUAAAUUUCAUAAGAUUUUCACGCAUCAGGAAAUAUUCUCCUUUUUCUUCUUCUUCUUUUUUUUUUUAAGCCAAUGUUAAAAUGUGAAAAGCAUUUUUUGCUUCUGGACAGCACGAAAAUAGGAGGCGGGCUGGAUUUGGUCCAGGGGCCACUGUUUGCCCAGCGUCCCUCUAGAAGGAUUUUUUAGAAAUGCUCUACAACGGCUGUUAUGGCGGCUGCUGCUGCGAAGCCAUCUGCUGAGUGUGUACAAGGCACCAGGCGCCGAGCUAAGAGCUCCCCUGGGAUGCACUUGAACCUCACACACAGUACCAGAGGCACUGUUUGCCUCCUUAUUGAGAAGCAUGGGGCUGCCCCAGGGCACCCAGCCAGAAAGAGAGAGAGCCAGAACUUGAAGCUGGUUGUCUGAGCCUACACCCUUCCCUGCCAUGCCACACUGCCUUGGGUAGGACCGCAGUGGUUUCCCGCUGCACCUGGAACAUACCCGUGGCCCUUGCCAUGGUUUCUGGAAGCUCAGGAUGUUUUCAUUCCCCCAUGCCUCCAGCCCUUCCCCCAGAGCUCGCUGCUCCCAGCCAUUUUGAUUGUCUUUUGGUUCCUUGCACUCUCCAAGUUUAUUUCUGGCUCAGACCUCUCACCUGCAAUGCCCCUCCCUCCUCUGUUGGCUAAGCAGAUGCCUGUGGGUCUGAGCUUAAGUGUCCCUGUCUCAGAAAGGCCUUCUGUAACCCCAGCGGGAUUCUGUCUCGCAGAGCCGCUGCAGUAUUUAUGACAACAGGCGACUGCACAAGUCUGUAUUGAUUUCAUGGCCUUCCCCCCGCCCCCCACUAGACUGUAACCCCAUGAUGCAGGAGGGGGGAAGCCAGCCUUGUUAAUAUACAGUAUGAGCUCAGGGCCUGACCCAGAGUAGGUGCUCUACAAAUAUCUGGAGAGUGAAUAAUAACCAAAUACACUUUGCCUCUUAAUCUUUUUGAUCAUCCCUAGGAAGUAGUUAUCACAUCCCCCCCCCCCCCCGCCUUAUAAUUGAGGAAACCUGGAUUCAGAAACAUCAAGCAGCUUUUCCAAGGUGACAGGAACAAUGAUCAAAUUCAAGGUCUCUGAUGUCAUGUCCAGUGACUUUAUUGAUGUGCCGUGAACCUUCCCUUAUGGUUAUUCAUGUUUUUACAGAUAAAUUAAUUUUGGCAAAGGUGCCUAAAUUCAGAAGGUACAUAAUGGUACAGAGCAAAAAGUCCUUGUCCCACCUCUGCCUCCGAGCCACCUAGAGCCCUUUCUGAAAGCAACUGAUGGCUCCAGUUUGUUACGUACCCAUUUAGAGGCCAUCUAUGCAUAUACAGGAAAACAUCUGCAGUUACCCUUCUUCCUCCCCAUGGUUCACAUAGUGGCAACAUAACAUACAUGCUGUUAUUACUUUUCUUCCUUAGCAUUGUGUUGUACAUUCUCAUCUCCUACGUAUUCCUACAAAUCACUUCCAUAUCCCUGCAGAUAGAGCUUUACUCUUAAAUUUAUUUUAGGCAGCAGAGUAGUUCAUCAUAUGCACAUUCCCCAAUUUAUUUAACCAUUCCCCAAUGACAGACAUUUGGGCUACUCCCACAUUUGUGCUGUGACAAACAAUGAAUAACUCUGUAAAUAUGUCAAUUCACACAUGUGCAAGUAUGUCUGAAGGAUGAAAUUCUAGAAGCGGAGCUGCGGAGAUAAAGGGCA